rnacentral:lncRNA from 1 species
AUGGCGAAUAUUGACCCCAAGAGUUAUCUAUCAUUAUCAAUAUCAGCUCUGUAUCACUCCCCCACUGACCCCAGACCUCACCUGUCAUUAGCUCUGUAUCACUCCCCCACUGACCCCAGACCUCACCUAUCAUUAGCUCUGUAUCACUCCCCCACUGACCCCAGACCUCACCUAUCAUUAGCUCUGUAUCACUCCCCCACUGACCCCAGACCUCACCUAUCAUCAGCUCUGUAUCACUCCCCCACUGACCCCAGACCUCACCUAUCAUCAGCUCUGUAUCACUCCCCCACUGACCCCAGACCUCACCUAUCAUUAGCUCUGUAUCACUCCCCCACUGACCCCAGACCUCACCUAUCAUUAGCUCUGUAUCACUCCCCCACUGACCCCAGACCUCACCUAUCAUUAGCUCUGUAUCACUCCCCCACUGACCCCAGACCUCACCUAUCAUUAGCUCUGUAUCACUCCCCCACUGACCCCAGACCUCACCUAUCAUCAGCUCUGUAUCAAUCCCCCACUGACCCCAGACCUCACCUAUCAUCAGCUCUGUAUCACUCCCCCACUGACCCCAGACCUCACCUAUCAUUAGCUCUGUAUCACUCCCCCACUGACCCCAGACCUCACCUAUCAUUAGCUCUGUAUCACUCCCCCACUGACCCCAGACCUCACCUAUCAUUAGCUCUGUAUCACUCCCCCACUGACCCCAGACCUCACCUAUCAUUAGCUCUGUAUCACUCCCCCACUGACCCCAGACCUCACCUAUCAUUAGCUCUGUAUCACUCCCCCACUGACCCCAGACCUCACCUAUCAUUAGCUCUGUAUCACUCCCCCACUGACCCCAGACCUCACCUAUCAUUAGCUCUGUAUCACUCCCCCACUGACCCCAGACCUCACCUAUCAUUAGCUCUGUAUCACUCCCCCACUGACCCCAGACCUCACCUAUCAUUAGCUCUGUAUCACUCCCCCACUGACCCCAGACCUCACCUAUCAUUAGCUCUGUAUCACUCCCCCAGACCUUAUCUAUCAUUAUCUUUUUGGAUUUGA